AUACGUAGGUGGCAAGCGUUGUCCGGAAUUAUUGGGCGUAAAGCGCAUGUAGGCGGUUUGGUAAGUCGGUCGUGAAAAUGCGGUGCUUCACGCCGUAUGGCGAUUGAAACUGCUGAACUUGAGUGCAGGGGAGGCAAGGGGGACUCCCAGUGUAGCGGGGAAAUGCGUAGACAUUGGGAAGAACCCCGGUGGCGAAGGCGCCUUUCUGGACUGUGUCUGACGCUCAGAUGCGAAAGCCAGGGUAGCGAACGGGAUUAGAUACCCCGGUAGUCCUGGCCGUAAACGAUGGGUACUAGGUGUGGGAGGUAUCGACUCCUUCCGUGCCGGAGUUAACGCAAUAAGUACCCCGCCUGGGGAGUACGGCCGCAAGGCUUAAACUCAAAUGAAUUGACGGGG
rnacentral:rRNA from 1 species